CUAACCUAUAUAUGCAAAAGCUCUAUUGCUGUCUACGUCUUUUCUAUAGAAAACGAAACACUUGGGAAUGAUAUAAUGUAAAAGACGAGACGUUAUUAUUGCGAUUUUACGGCAAAAUGCAAAGUGAACAUAUAUAAAUGUGUGUAUAUAUAUAUAAAGUGAUAUUAUGUCUAGUCAUAUACUAUAUUAAGUGAUGUGAUGAUCUAAUUAUUAGACGUCUUAAUACUAAGGCCAUGAAUAUUGCACACAAACUUACAAAAUCAUACUAUACAAUACUUUAAUAUAUCCAACACGUAGCUUACGCUUGUAUAAAAUUGCUAAUUAUCACAGCAGUCGUAAACAAAACAAACCCCCACCUUCUUGUAUAAACGGUAAAAAUAAAAACUUAU